rnacentral:tRNA from 1 species
GGGGAUGUAGCUCAAACGAUAGAGUGCUCGCUUUGUAUGCGAGAAGGUUCGAUACUCCGCAUCUCCA